AGAGUUUGAUCCUGGCUCAGGAUGAACGCUAGCGACAGGCCUAACACAUGCAAGUCGAGGGGCAGCGGAGAGGUAGCAAUACCUUUGCCGGCGACCGGCGCACGGGUGAGUAACACGUAUGCAAUCCACCUGUAACAGGGGGAUAACCCGGAGAAAUCCGGACUAAUACCCCAUAAUAUGGGUUCUCCGCAUGGAGGGUCCAUUAAAGAGAGCAAUUUUGGUUACAGACGAGCAUGCGCUCCAUUAGCCAGUUGGCGGGGUAACGGCCCACCAAAGCGACGAUGGAUAGGGGUUCUGAGAGGAAGGUCCCCCACAUUGGAACUGAGACACGGUCCAAACUCCUACGGGAGGCAGCAGUGAGGAAUAUUGGUCAAUGGUCGGCAGACUGAACCAGCCAAGUCGCGUGAGGGAAGACGGCCCUACGGGUUGUAAACCUCUUUUGUCGGAGAGUAAAGUACGCUACGUGUAGCGUAUUGCAAGUAUCCGAAGAAAAAGCAUCGGCUAACUCCGUGCCAGCAGCCGCGGUAAUACGGAGGAUGCAAGCGUUAUCCGGAUUUAUUGGGUUUAAAGGGUGCGUAGGCGGCACGCCAAGUCAGCGGUGAAAUUUCCGGGCUCAACCCGGACUGUGCCGUUGAAACUGGCGAGCUAGAGUGCACAAGAGGCAGGCGGAAUGCGUGGUGUAGCGGUGAAAUGCAUAGAUAUCACGCAGAACCCCGAUUGCGAAGGCAGCCUGCUAGGGUGCGACAGACGCUGAGGCACGAAAGCGUGGGUAUCGAACAGGAUUAGAUACCCUGGUAGUCCACGCAGUAAACGAUGAAUACUAACUGUUUGCGAUACAAUGUAAGCGGUACAGCGAAAGCGUUAAGUAUUCCACCUGGGGAGUACGCCGGCAACGGUGAAACUCAAAGGAAUUGACGGGGGCCCGCACAAGCGGAGGAACAUGUGGUUUAA
rnacentral:rRNA from 2 species